rnacentral:rRNA from 1 species
GAUGAACGCUGGCGGCGUGCCUAAUACAUGCAAGUCGAGCGAACAGACGAGGAGCUUGCUCCUCUGACGUUAGCGGCGGACGGGUGAGUAACACGUGGAUAACCUACCUAUAAGACUGGGAUAACUUCGGGAAACCGGAGCUAAUAACGGAUAAUAUAUUGAACCGCAUGGUUCAAUAGUGAAAGACGGUUUUGCUGUCACUUAUAGAUGGAUCCGCGCCGCAUUAGCUAGUUGGUAAGGUAACGGCUUACCAAGGCAACGAUGCGUAGCCGACCUGAGAGGGUGAUCGGCCACACUGCAACGGAGACACGGUCCAGACUCUUAGGCGACGCAGCAGUAGGGCAUCUUACGCAAUGGGCGAAAGCCUGACGGCGCAACACCGUGGGAGUGAUGAAGCCCGUCGGAUCGGACCACUCUGUGUUUAGCGAAUAAAAAAUAUGUCAGUCACUAGGUACAUCUUGCCGGUACCCACUCAGAUAGUCACGGCUAACUACGUG